rnacentral:rRNA from 1 species
GAUGAACGCUAGCUACAGGCUUAACACACGCAAGUCGAGGGGUAACGAGAGGAAAGCUUGCUUUCCUUGUCGACGACCGGCGCACGGGUGAGUAACGCGUAUCCAACCUGCCCCCAACUAGGGAAUAACCUUGCGAAAGUAAGACUAAUACCCUAUAAUUUCCUCAGAUGUCAUCUGACGAGGAAUAAAGAUUAAUCGGUUGUGGAUGGGGAUGCGUCUGAUUAGCUUGUUGGCGGGGUAACGGCCCACCAAGGCAACGAUCAGUAGGGGUUCUGAGAGGAAGGUCCCCCACAUUGGAACUGAGACACGGUCCAAACUCCUACGGGAGGCAGCAGUGAGGAAUAUUGGUCAAUGGGCGGAAGCCUGAACCAGCCAAGUAGCGUGCAGGAUGACGGCCCUAUGGGUUGUAAACUGCUUUUAUACAGGAAUAAAGUUAGCCACGUGUGGUUAUUUGUAGGUACUGUAUGAAUAAGGACCGGCUAAUUCCGUGCCAGCCGCCGCGGUAAGAC